UCUAUAGUAGCUUCUGCAAGUAUACACCAGGUAUUAGAUUAAUUGAUGGGGAACAGAGAAGAAAUCUCAUCUUCAUUAAGAGCAGGAAGAGGAAGAAAUCAUCUCACCUGGGAUAUGUUGCACCAAGUAUGUCCUUUUGGCCAUAUUUUCUCCAGCUAUAACCAUCCUCGUGGGGUCCUUCAAAUCCUGUCUCAGAGUUCACUUUCACUUUUCUUAAAACUUGGCGAAAAAAGUUGGAAAGAAGAUUCUAAACUCACCUCUUCUUUGAUUCCUUUCUGGGGUCCUGCUGAGGGUCCUUGAGGCCUCUGCCAGAAUCAUCACUAGAAGCACUUCCAUUGACAGAAAUUGGUGACCCUGGCAAUCCGGGGGCUACUUCCGGCAUCGGAGGCUGAUUCAUUGAUGCUGAACUCAACUCUGUUCUCAAUCGCUUGGUCUAUCAAGAAGCAGAAGCUUUCUAUCUAAGGAGAAGAAGCAGAAGGUAGAGCAAAUGGAAGACCCAAAUGGUAAAGAAACAAAGACAACAAACAUGGAAGUAGCCAGGUAGGUAGUUUGGUUAACUGGGUAUGUUUGUGUUUAAUCAAAACCGAAGUAGAAUAGAGAGAAGAAGAAGAACAAAGAGAGAGAGUGAGAGAGAGAGAGAUGAGGAGAAGCUUUGGAUUGAAGAAGAACCGGUCAUGGGGUUCUUAUAAGGAAUUGAAAAGGGAAAACAACUUCGUUUCAUUCUUUUUUAAAAUUUUCUUGAAGAUUUAGAAUUGGGAAACUUUUGACUGAGACAAACCCGAGUUGCUUUCUUCCCUUGGCUCUUUGUUUUGAUAGGCUGGUCUUUUUUGUGGAAGUCCAAGUUCAAAAUCUGACCAAGUCCACUUCCACUUGGAUCUAACUUCCAAAAGGGUUUCUCUUUCUCCCUCUAGAUCCUACGGCUGUGGUUUGUGUUGAAUGAAAUUCCAUGAUUGAGAUAGAGAGAGAAGUGGAAAGUCAAAGUCCAUGCUUGGAGAGUAGACCAAGAAUUUUCAAAGCUGAAAUCCGCGUUGUAGUAUAGUAAACAUGUGCUCUCUCUCUCUUUUUAAAUCUAAUGCUUAUGAUUGUGAGUGAA